rnacentral:rRNA from 1 species
GUCCACGCCCUAAACGAUGCGAACUAGGUGUUGGGGAAGGAGACUUCCUUAGUACCGCAGCUAACGCGUGAAGUUCGCCGCCUGGGGAGUACGGUCGCAAGAUUAAAACUCAAAGGAAUUGACGGGGACCCGCACAAGCGGUGGAUGAUGUGGAUUAAUUCGAUGCAACGCGAAAAACCUUACCUACCCUUGACAUGUACGGAAGCCUCUCGAGACGGAGGUGUGCCCGAAAGCGAGCCGUAACACAGGUGCUGCAUGGCUGUCGU